rnacentral:rRNA from 1 species
CGAGUGGCGGACGGGUGAGUAAUGUCUGGGAAACUGCCCGGUGGAGGGGGAUAACUACUGGAAACGGUAGCUAAUACCGCAUAACGUCGCAAGACCAAAGAGGGGGACCUUCGGGCCUCUUGCCACCGGAUGUGCCCAGAUGGGAUUAGCUUGUUGGUGAAGUAACGGCUCACCAAGGCGACGAUCCCUAGCUGGUCUGAGAGGAUGACCAGCCACACUGGAACUGAGACACGGUCCAGACUCCUACGGGAGGCAGCAG